rnacentral:rRNA from 1 species
GCCCUGCACUCUGGGACAAGCCCUGGAAACGGGGUCUAAUACCGGAUACUGAUUGUCUUGGGCAUCCUUGAUGAUCGAAAGCUCCGGCGGUGCAGGAUGAGCCCGCGGCCUAUCAGCUUGUUGGUGAGGUAACGGCUCACCAAGGCGACGACGGGUAGCCGGCCUGAGAGGGCGACCGGCCACACUGGGACUGAGACACGGCCCAGACUCCUACGGGAGGCAGCAGUGGGGAAUAUUGCACAAUGGGCGCAAGCCUGAUGCAGCGACGCCGCGUGAGGGAUGACGGCCUUCGGGUUGUAAACCUCUUUCAGCAGGGAAGAAGCGAAAGUGACGGUACCUGCAGAAGAAGCGCCGGCUAACUACGUGCCAG